rnacentral:rRNA from 1 species
UACAGAGGAUGCGAGCGUUAUCCGGAUUUAUUGGGUUUAAAGGGUGCGUAGGCGGACUGUCAGGUCAGCGGUAAAAUUGAGAGGCUCAACCUCUUCCCGCCGUUGAAACUGGUGGUCUUGAGUGGAUGAGAAGUACGCGGAAUGCGUGGUGUAGCGGUGAAAUGCAUAGAUAUCACGCAGAACUCCGAUUGCGAAGGCAGCGUACCGGCAUCCAACUGACGCUGAGGCACGAAAGCGUGGGGAUCAAACAGG